rnacentral:rRNA from 1 species
UACGUAGGGUGCGAGCGUUGUCCGGAAUUAUUGGGCGUAAAGGGCUCGUAGGCGGUCUGGUGCGUCAGGAGUGAAAACUCGGGGCUUAACCCCGAGCCUGCUUCUGAUACGGGCAGACUAGAGGUAUGCAGGGGAGAACGGAAUUCCUGGUGUAGCGGUGAAAUGCGCAGAUAUCAGGAGGAACACCGGUGGCGAAGGCGGUUCCCUGGGCAUUACCUGACGCUGAGGAGCGAAAGUGUGGGGAGCGAACAGG